CACUUGUCAUCUUUAUAUCUCCACCUGUGAACCUUUUGUAGACCUGGAUAUCUCUCUGAAUGCCUGCAAAAUUCAGGUUUGAGGUUGAUUUUUUUCUUUCCUUGUGUUUUCAGGUCUAUGUUUUUCAUAUACCCCAUGUAUGUUUAUAGAAUGUAAUAAACGGGCCUUUGUGCCUAUAAACUUAAACAACUUUCAGCAACGGAUCUCUUGGCUCUCGCAUCGAUGAAGAACGCAGCGAAAUGCGAUAAGUAAUGUGAAUUGCAGAAUUCAGUGAAUCAUCGAAUCUUUGAACGCACCUUGCGCUCCUUGGUAUUCCGAGGAGCAUGCCUGUUUGAGUGUCAUUAAUAUAUCAACCCUCUUUGUUGAGUGUUGGAUGUGGGGGUUUCUUUUUGCUGGACUCUCUCGAGGUCAGCUCCCCUGAAAUAUAUUAGCAAAACAAUUUGUUUACUGCUCAUUGGUGUGAUACAUAUCUACGCUAUUGAUGGUAAAGCACAGUUUAGCUUCUAAAAGUCCAUUGACUUGGACAAUCUUUUAUUAAUGUGACCUCAAAUCAGGUAGGACUACCCGCUGAACUUAAGCAUAUCAAUAAAGCGGAGGAA
rnacentral:rRNA from 1 species